GCCGCCAAAUCCUCUGUCUUCACGCUCAACACCUCUUCAGGUGCCGCCCCUUCCAGUACAGAUAACAAACAAGCACAGAACCCUCGCGUAAUCUCCGAAUCGCUGUCGGUUAAAAAUCUCAUCUUUCCAUAGUGAUCUAACUGGGCAUCGAGCCAGACUUGGGCCGUACAGCCCAUGACCCUGUUGGAGUCUAUCCGGGAGGAGUCUGGAAAAGGGGGGAGAAUAGAGGCAUAAUGAAGGACCCGUUUCACGCGGUCGAUUGAUCCCGGCAGGGAUUGGAAUUCGUUUAUCAGGUGCUGCAGCUUUACCACCCACGAGCUCAGUGGUGGGUGACGGAGAGAAAGCAACAGCAGAGCAGGAAAAGCGAGAAUAUUUAGGGUUAAUAGAAGAAAUAGAUUUGGAAUCAGAGUGCAUGGAAUUAAGGGACCUAAAGGAAAAUGAAGAAUAAUGGGUUUUGUGAGAAUAGAGCCUGCGCUUAGGCGUAGUGCUUGGGGAGACAGAGAAAUGAGAAGAAUAGUAGGAAGAGGCUCUCACGGAGAUGGUUACAGAGGACUCCAUGGAAGAUAGAAGAAGUCCAGAGGGCGAGAGAAGAGGCGAAGGGGAUUGGCCUAAAAGUGCGUGUUAGGAGUGAGAAGUAUGGAUUGGG
rnacentral:misc_RNA from 1 species